rnacentral:lncRNA from 1 species
CCCUCCCUCUUUAUUUCUAUUUUUUAGAUCUAAAUAAUUUUUAUGCACAUCUAAACUAGAUCCUUAGAUGAUAUCAUGAUUAGAUCCUUCUCAUGCCAUAAAUUAAAAUAGUUUUAAUUUAUGCUUCCACUGUCCUAGUUUCAUGAGAUGAAAUAUUGCAUGCUAAUCACCUGGAUUUCCUUCAAGUGAUAUCAGAGCCGUAUCAUUUUUACAUGCAUGAAAAGUUAAUUUUCUAUUUUAGAUUUAAAAAAUUAGAUUAUAAAAUUAGAAUAGAUCUAAUUAAUAAUACAUGAGAUGUAUUGGAUAUUAACAAUGCAUGAGAUGUAUUGGAUCCUAUUUUUGCAUGUGAUGCAUAGAUUUGAAAAUCAUCAUUGUAAUUUAUUUUAUAUGAAACAUGAGAUGUUUAGAUCUGAUAUACAUGUGAUGUAUGUGAAGGAAAAACUAUCUUUUUUGUUGUAGGA